GGAGGCUCCGCAGGCCACCUGGAGACAGGGAAGAGGAGGUUGGGGAGGUGGGGGAAUAGCUUGCCCUCCUCCUACCACCCCGGCCUCAACCUCUUCUGAGGGGACAGACCAACUUAGACCACUGAGAACUCUACUCCUGCCCCGCUGCACAGGUGAGCAAAGGGAGGGCUGCAGAGGGGAUGAGAGCCGGUCUUUAAACACCCAGAAGGUAACCAGAGCCGGCAGCCUGUCGCAACCAUGCAGGUCAUACUCCGUGGCCUGACUGCCCUCACUCACGAUCCAGAGGCCUCCUGCUACCAUAACCCUGGACUCUAGUGAAAGUAGCAACUGACAGGUCCUCCUUUGUCUCCUUGCUCACCCAACAGCCAGUUCCUCAAAAGACAAGAAUUCCCAGCCCUACCCACAGCUAUGGCUACUUGAGCCCACGGAGGAAGGAAUGAGGGCUCUCUUAAUGACGACCGUUUUAUUUUGCAACGACUUUGUGCAUGACCUACUCUGGAGACAAUUCUGCCACUGAGUCUGAUGUGACCGCUUUGCACUGCAGGACCACCAGGCAGCACAUCCCUCCGUCUCAAUCAUUCCCUGGGCCCAUCUCCCUCCAGGCAUCUUGAAACCAAAAUACUCUCCAAACCUCCAACCUCCCACGUGCCCAUAGACUAGGGAUCAGCAAACUACAGCCCAUUGCCUGUCUCUGCAAAUAAAGUUUUACUGAAACAU